ACUGUAUCUGUCAGUUAUCUUUGUUAAAUAUUUUCCCAAAUCAUCAGUUUAGGAAACACUUCUCAGGUUGUUGAAAGUUCCUUCAGUAAGUGAUUUAGCAAGGGAUGGUGGAGGAGCAGGGACUGCUCCUUUUGUUUCUGACAAAAUCCAGGGUGGGAAUGCAUUGUAGUAGGCUUCUUGGUCCACUCUCCAUCCUGGAGUGUCUUUGUGGCCUUCCCUCUGCCUGACUCCCCUUAGAGAACCAGCUUACUUAACGCCCAUGCAUUCGCCAUUUACAGAUCUGGGCCAUGACCAGACCUGUAUUACAGCUCAUCUAAUAAAUGUGAGGAGCCAUGGCAAGCAUGUUAGGCCAAGAAUUGAAAGACCGAGUUCUAAUCCUUCUUUUUGACCAGCUCUGUGACUUAACUUCACAGUACUUGAGUUUCCCUCUAGCUGAUUCAAAUGAUUUCCAAGGUGUCUUCCAGCUUAGCUGCUAAGAUCCUGAAUAUCAGCCAGACCAAUUCUAAGGGACAAUAUAUUAAGAAAAGAAAGAAAGUUCAAUGAUGUGAAUGUCUUAUGAUCCAGUGGAAAUUCUGAGAUUUAAUGAAAAAUUACACUGAAAAAGGAGUCCAAACUCUCUCUAUAUGCCCAUUACUUAGCCUUUGUGUGGCCAAAGGAAUUUUGACAAGUGGCAGCUGAAGCUCCUUUCAGUCCUGUCAUCUAUUACUCUGGUUCAAUGGAUGGGAACUGGGGUCUGGAGACCUAAGAGUCAGACACAGCUCAGUCACUAUCUUAACUGCUCUUUAGCUCCAAUGACUUCAUCUGUAAGACAGAUCUAAUAAUAUCACCUCAAGGAGUUUGUUAUGAUAGUGUUUGUUGAGGUAGUGUAAGCACAAGCCAUCUGGAAGUAGUAAAAUGCUUAUAGAAAUGGCAGACAUCUGAGAGUAUUGGGAUCUUUUGAAAAGACUCCCAGUCUUUUGCAGAAAUGACUUUUGGUCCAGCCAUCAUGUCCUUCCAACUCUAACUGAGGCAUAGUCUUUUCUGAUUGACUUGAACCUUACAGCUAUGUUUCUGCUGAAAAUAGCCAUUUGACAUUCUCAGCAAAACCAAAUUAAUUCCUUUCUCUCUGUGAAAAUAUGAUUGUGGAGCAAGAUCUUGGGGUAAGAGACGACAGGUUGAGGAGAUAACAGAAGUAAACUCUGGGACUUCCCUAAAUGCCAACACUCAGAAGAUAACACACAUCAAAGAAGCUGCCAAAAUGAAAGGCUUAGAUCUCAGAAACCCUUGUAGAGCUCUACCCAGCUAACCCAUCCACUUCCAAACAGAUGGACUAGACAGGGAGAAAAUAGGUAGUGAGAUUUUGGGUCAUGAUGUCUGAAAUAGUGUGCUGAUGAUACAACUCGUCUUUUGAAAUGAGACUCAACUCAUCAUGGAACCAAGUGAGUUAUGUAUUUUAUUUAGUGUGUAUAUUCCCUUGGAAGUGUGGUACAGUCCUGAAUAAGCAGAGCUUCUUGAGAAAUUAGGAGGUUCUAAAUGGGAAAUCCAUUGUCAUUCCUGUUGUUGCUGUAAACAGUCAAUGUAAAAUUGGAGAAUAAAAUCAUUAGAUCUCUCUUAAGAAAAUAUUCUAUGUGUACUUGGAAGCUCUCUUCUGAGGAUUAUUGAUAAGUCUUCUGCAACUGCUUAAAUAAAGCCCUAGUCAGACUUCUGGCCUCUGGUCAGGGACUGGGACUAGGGAAAAGGCAAGCUCUGGAUCUUUAGAGUAUUUCCACUGUUGAUGAGGGAAAAGAGCCCUGGUCACAGUAUAGGGAGGGGGAAGGUUAGAAGAAGAAAAAUAUUAAAGAAGGAGUUACAGCAAAAGCACCUUCUCUGCCUCAGAUGUCAAUAACCAAUCUGCCUUGUCUCUUUUUGCUGAGAACUUGCAUUAAAUAAUCAUGCCUGACUCACACUAAAUUAUUUCCAAGGUCCCAUCCUUGUUUGGGUCUGCUGAGCACUGUUUUGUGCUCACCUCCCUUGUUGGCCCUGAAUCUGAGGAUUCUGUAAAAGGUCAGGAGUCUACACCAAAAGUACAAACACAGCCCCCAACUUUAGGACAAUAGGGAAGUAGUGGACUCUCCUAGGGAUACUAUCCACGGGCAGUCUGUUCCCGUGUUUGGAAAUCCAGGGGUAUUCAGGUAGUUUGGCUAGUUGCCAACCAUCAGUCACUGGAACCAGUCCAGAGAACAACAGUCUCUCGGAAGCUUUCCAAAAUGCCAAAGCCAAUGGGGCAUUGGUUAGAUUCUGAUUUUACUUAUUUCAGAGGCAAUAAAGAAGUGGAGAAAUGUACGUGAAUGUGAGGAGGCAAUCUGACAGUCUUGAAAGGGACUGGUAGUGUCAACAUGGUCUCUGCCUCUCAGAGGGUAAUAUAAACUUACAGGAGUUCUUGAUUGCCUUGGGCUUCCAGGGAAAUAGUGGAAUUUGGUGAGUUUUCUUAUCUUUGAGGAGAGGGAGACUAGAGCAAUGAAAAGGAGGGAAAACAGAAUCACAUUGUAACUGAUUGCAGUCUGAUUGAUGUUGGGUAAAUUGCAUCUGAGCAAAAAGUAUUGUGUUUCAUUUUCCCUUUAAAUCAUUUCCACUUGAAAUUCAGAGUUAUCUGCAGUGUUAGAAUCAAAUCUCUGAGGCUAUGCCUUUGGGAGUCCUAAAGAAGAAGGAAAGAGAUGAAACCAAAGCUUAGACCCUCUGCCGAGAUGCUGACCCGCACUCUCCAAUGACAUCCCAAUUGCUUCUCCAGUUUUCUCUUCCUGCAGCGAUUGAGUAAAAUAUGAUGAUAUGAGGCUCAGGUAGGAGGUUUAAGAAUUUCAAAUCAAGCCCCUAAUCCUUAAAGUUUUGACAGCAAAGAAUGGUCCUUCCCUUUCGCCUAGCUCUAACCCUGGACUCUUGAUUUUUUGGUGAUAAGACAAAGUAAUCUAUACUGUUUUUAAGUUCUAUUUCAUAUGAUUACUCUGUCCUCUUGAGGCUUCUAUCUGGAUCCAGAGUCAAGAGAAAUUAUAAAACAAAAAUAAGCAAUCCAAAGCAGGCUCUGGUUUCCCUGACCUGUGUCCAUAACACGCGGCACCACUGGGUUCCUCUGUCAGCUACCAAUUUCUUGUUCAACCCUCGGGUCCUUAGAAAGUCUUUCCACAGGCUCAGGGAAUUAGAAAGUAGAUUUGUUGUUACUGUGAGACUCAGUCUGAGUGAUGGGGGAGAAAUUAGGUUUCUAAUCAAAAAGCAGGAUUGUGACCCAAGAGAAGGGAAACAGAAUAUGAGAAAAAGAGCAGUGCCUAAAACUCUCCUCAGCCUAACAUUCAUUACAAGAAAUGUCGAUAUUCAGUGCCCCAUUCUUACUCCCAAGCUAGUGUGUUCUUAGAGAGUCCUUUCAAUAGACAGGUGUUAAAUCUUCCAUCUUGGAGGCAGCUAUUGGUCUGCUGUCACCCCUUUCUGCUGCUCUGUCUCAGCCCUGUCCCCUGUCCCAGGGCUCCUAGGCUGGGGAUUUCAUGCUCACCUCCUUACCCAGCAGUUACAGUAUUCUUAGCUUCAGAGGGAACUGGGACUCUAUGUGCUCAGCCCCCUGAUUUCAUCAAGUGCAGCUUUGUAGCUCUCUGAGCCAUGGGGUCUCUAGGCUGGAACUCGAGCUGGGGAGGCAGGACACAGAUGCUCUAGCCCAGGCCCCAGGGCCAGCCCCAGGCUGGUUACUUGUCAGGCUGUGUUGCGAUGUGCUUCUGGGAGACCCGACAGAUGUUUUUUGGAGCUGGCACCAAACUCUUCGUGGAGCCCCAAAAUCAACCUGCUGCCAGCCCAUCUGUUUUUGUCAUGAAAAAUGAGACAAAGGUCGCUUGUUUGGUGAAGGAGUUCUACCCCAAAGAUAUAACUAUAAAUCUGCAAGCAUCCAAGAAAAUAAUAGAAUAUGAAACUGCUAUUGUCAUCUCACCUGGGGGGAAGUACAGUGCUGUCAAGCUUGGUCAGUAUGAAGAUCCCGAUUCAGUGACGUGUUCAGUUGAACACAACAAAAAAACCUUGCACUCUACUGAAUUUGAACCAAAGAAAAUUAUUUCAGGGACUCCAAAACCGACGGAAUCUGUAAACAGCACAAAAGCUCCAGUUUCAGAGACCUGCUAUGAGCCCCAAGUGCAACCCGGGAAGGUGAACAUGAUGUCCCUCUCGGUGCUGGGGCUCCGAAUGCUGUUUGCCAAGAGUGUCGCCGUCAAUUUCCUCUUGACUGCCAAGUUAUUUUUCUUUUAAGGCUGACUGGCAUGAGAAGGCUACAUUCCCUGAAAGAAACCAAAAGCCUACAGAGGAACUAUCUCCUAGGCUUUCAACUUUUUGGUGAUUCAAGUUGACCCGUCCCAGCCUUGCUUAAAUGGCUGUUCCCCCAAACUGGUUUUCCUUUAAAGGCAACAAAUCCAGCUUAUCCUUCAGCCUGAUAAAAGAUAGAAGUCCUGGGGAGUGGGGGCUUAUGGCCCCAACUGUUUUAUAUGCUGCUUUAUAAAGGGAUAAGAGAUAUGAAGGUAUAUAGGGCUUAUUUUUUUUCCUAUGACUGACAUACUUUGAAAGUGGUGUUUUGUUCCUUUGACUUUCUUUGCCUCCAGAACUAGAAAGUGGGACCCAUCCGGUUCCCAGCUCCAUCCUCCAAGAGGAAAAAUAGAUCCUGGGGAAAGGAGAGUGGAUCUCCUUCUACCUAAAUGUAAAAGCCUCUGUUCAACCCAGCACUAGAUUUGCCCAAACUAGCGUUCUCGUCUACAAAGGCACUUUCUGCUUUCCCUAUUACUUGGCAAACAAAACUACACUUGACUCCCUAAUACUCUCUGUGUAGGCAAUGGGGUUUCUAAAGUCUCAUAUAAAUACUCUCAGAGCUGUUAGCAGAGAUCAGAGUAAAAUGCAGAGGAAAUGUGCUUUUCUCAACUUAACAAACAUGAAUUAUUGCAAGUUCCAGGCACUGUGCUGAGAGUGCAAAAAUAAGUAAGACAUGAGUCUUGCUUUCAAGCAACUCACUGUGCAAGUAUUUUUGGAAGGAGGGAUAGGAAUGAGUGCCCAGUAUUUCCCUGUAAAACCAGAGUCUUCCUGACCCCUUGCCUGCCCAUCUGUGCAUGGGGAAUUUGAGGGCACUGGAUCUUUGGUGUUGAUGGUUUUCUGCCAUUCUUUUUUGUCUCUGUUGCAUUUAUUAAAGUGCAUUGUACGUACCUUG